UCAGCCUGUUGCUGGGGCUCUGGAUCUUUCCACUCUCCAGGUGCUGUGGCUGUCAUCCUUCUGGGUCCUAGUGUUUCCCUAAUAGCUGCUGGCAUCAUCCAGUAGGGGAAGUGUUAACCCCUGCAGUACUAGAGCAACUUAAACGUAAGAGGGAAAGAGGAUGAAAUAACUCCGGAGGAAGAUGUGCCAUUAGGAAUUCUGUGUUUGGGAUUUGCCCAGAAAUGAAGUCUCUGCAGGUUCACUUAGCUCUACGGCAGAACAUAAGCCAAUGUCACUCAGUUAAAGUAAAAACCUACAUCCCCGUCUAAAAAUAUCCGCCUACUGGGCGACAUACGGCUCCUAUUUACUGUACAAGUUGCUUAACUGUUGCAGACUAAAAUAAUGACAAUG